rnacentral:rRNA from 1 species
UAAACUAGGAUUAGAUACCCUAUUAUGCUUAGCCCUAAACAUUGACAACUUUAUACACCCGUUGUCCGCCCGGGUACUACGAGCGCCAGCUUAAAACCCAAAGGACUUGGCGGUGCUUUAGAUCCACCUAGAGGAGCCUGUUCUAGAACCGAUAAUCCCCGUUCAACCUCACCCCUUCUUGCUUUAUCCGCCUAUAUACCGCCGUCGCAAGCUUACCCUUUGAAGGUUUAAUAGUAAGCAAAAUCGGCACUGCCCAGUACGUCAGGUCGAGGUGUAGCGAAUGGAGGGGGAAGAAAUGGGCUACAUUCCCUGAAUCCAGGGAAUUACGGAUGACAUGCUGAAACGCAUGUUUAAAGGAGGAUUUAGUAGUAAGCAUGAAAAUAGAGUGUUCCGCUGAAAUCGGCCCUGAAGCGCGCACACAUCGCCCGUCGCUCUUA